UACGUAGGGUGCAAGCGUUGUCCGGAAUUAUUGGGCGUAAAGAGCUCGUAGGCGGUGUGUCACGUCGAUCGUGAAAACUUGGGGCUUAACCCUGAGCUUGCGGUCGAUACGGGCAUCACUGGAGUUCGGCAGGGGAGACUGGAAUUCCUGGUGUAGCGGUGAAAUGCGCAGAUAUCAGGAGGAACACCGAUUGCGAAGGCAGCUCGCUGGGACGUAACUGACGCUGAGACGCGAAAGCGUGGGGAGCAAACAGG
rnacentral:rRNA from 1 species